UGGGGAAUAUUGCACAAUGGGCGCAAGCCUGAUGCAGCAACGCCGCGUGAGGGACGACGGCCUUCGGGUUGUAAACCUCUUUUGGCAGGGAAGAAGCGAAAGUGACGGUACCUGCAGAAAAAGCACCGGCUAACUACGUGCCAGCAGCCGCGGUGAUACGUAGGGUGCAAGCGUUGUCCGGAAUUAUUGGGCGUAAAGAGCUCGUAGGCGGUUCGUCACGUCGGAUGUGAAAACCUGGGGCUUAACCCCGGGCCUGCAUACGAUACGGGCGAACUAGAGUUCGGUAGGGGAGACUGGAAUUCCUGGUGUAGCGGUGAAAUGCGCAGAUAUCAGGAGGAACACCGGUGGCGAAGGCGGGUCUCUGGGCCGAUACUGACGCUGAGGAGCGAAAGCGUGGGGAGCAAACA
rnacentral:rRNA from 1 species